GGGGGGGGGGGGGGGGGGGGGGGGGGGGGGGGGGGGGGGGGGGGGGGGGGGGGCCAUUAAAAACGGUGAUAAAAAGGCAAAAAUCCCAUUGGUGCAGCACAGUCGGAACUGGGAAUUGAGGAGUGGGACUCCCUGGAAUUAGGGAAUAUUCUGGGUUGGAGCUGUGGGAUAUUCCAGGAUUUGGUGUUUUUUGGGGUUCCUGAUGGGUUCUCCGUGUGUUUUCCUGCCCGUUUUUUUCUUUUGUACCCAUUAAAAACGGCGAUGAAAAGGUGAAAAUCCCGCUGGUGCAACGCGCUGGGAUCUGGGGAUGUGGAAUGUUCCAGAAUUCCUCAUUUUUCCCUGUCAAUUCCUCCUCCUGCUCCUUGUGUUUUCCAUCUUUUCUCCCUGUUUUCUUUUCUUUUGUACCCAUUAAAAAUGGUGAUGAAAAGGUGAAAAUCCCGCUGGUGCAACGCGCUGGGAUCUGGGGAUGUGGAAUGUUCCAGAAUUCCUCAUUUUUCCCUGUCAAUUCCUCCUCCUGCUCCUUGUGUUUUCCAUCUUUUCUCCCUGUUUUCUUUUCUUUUGUACCCAUUAAAAAUGGUGAUGAAAAGGUGAAAAUCCCGCUGGUGCAACGCGCUGGGAUCUGGGGAUGUGGAAUGUUCCAGAAUUCCUCAUUUUUCCCUGUCAGUUCCUCCUCCUGCUCCUUGUGUUUUCCAUGCUCCUGCUCCUUGUGUUUUCCAUCUUUUCUCCCUGUUUUCUUUAUUUUAUAUCCAUUAAAAACGGUGAUAAAAAGGCAAAAAUCCCAUUGGUGCAGCACAGUUGUAAUUGGGGAUUUGAGAAGUGGGAAGCCCUAAAAUAUUGGAAUAUUGCAGAAUUUCUCACUUUUCCCUGUCAAUUCUUUCUCCUUGUGUUUUCCAUUAUUUUUUUCCUCUUUUGUACCCAUUAAAAAUGGCCAAAAAAGGGCAAAAAAUCUCAUUUUAAGAACCUGAGGGACACGCUGGGAUUUGGGGACUGGAAUAUUUCAGAAUUUCUCAUUUUCUUUAUCAAAAUCCUCCUUCUUAUGGUUUCCAUGAUUUUCCCCUCGUUUGGGGGGGGGGGGGGGGGGGGGGGGGGGGGGGGGGG
rnacentral:lncRNA from 12 species